rnacentral:rRNA from 1 species
GGGAACUGAAACAUCUAAGUACCCCGAGGAAAAGAAAUCAACCGAGAUUCCCCCAGUAGCGGCGAGCGAACGGGGAGGAGCCCAGAGCCUGAAUCAGUGUGUGUGUUAGUGGAAGCGUCUGGAAAGGCGCGCGAUACAGGGUGACAGCCCCGUACACAAAAAUGCACAUAUUGUGAGCUCGAUGAGUAGGGCGGGACACGUGGUAUCCUGUCUGAAUAUGGGGGGACCAUCCUCCAAGGCUAAAUACUCCUGACUGACCGAUAGUGAACCAGUACCGUGAGGGAAAGGCGAAAAGAACCCCGGCGAGGGGAGUGAAAAAGAACCUGAAACCGUGUACGUACAAGCAGUGGGAGCACGCUUAGGCGUGUGACUGCGUACCUUUUGUAUAAUGGGUCAGCGACUUAUAUUCUGUAGCAAGGUUAACCGAAUAGGGGAGCCGAAGG